rnacentral:rRNA from 1 species
CAAGUCGAGCGCUCGUAGCAAUACGAGAGCGGCAUGACGGGAGAGUAACACGUGGGAACGUACCCUUCAGUUCGGAACAAUGCCAGUGAAACUUGGAUUAACUACCUGCGAUACGUCCGUAAGGAGAAGAGAUUUAUCCGCUCGAAGUGAUCGAGCCCGCCGUCCGAUUAGCUAGUUGAGUGAGUGUAAGCGGCCCGACCAAGGCUGACGAUCGGAUACCUGGAUCUGAGAGAGAUGAUCAGCCUCACUGGGACUGAGACACUGGCCCAGACUCCUACGGGAGGCAGCAGUGGGGAAUAUUGGACAAUGGGCGCAAUGCCUGAUCCAGCCAUGCCGCGUGGGAAUGAAGGCCUUAGGGUUGUAAAGCCCUUUCGGCGGGGAAGGAUAAUGACGGUACCCGCAGUAAGAAGCCCCGGCUAACUUCGUGCCAGCGAGCCGCGGUAAUACGAAGGGGGCUAGCGUUGCUCGGAAUCACUGGGCGUAAAGCGCACGUAGGCGGCUUGCUAAGUCGGGGGUGAAAUCCUGGAGCUCAACUCCAGAACUGCCUUCGAUACUGGCGAGCUUGAGUCCGG